GGGCGUCCGCGGCUCCGGAUGGCUGCUCGUUGGCGUUGGGGCGUGGGCGCGCGCCGAGGCGAGGGCGUCCUCAGAGGAAGCGGGGUCUCUGGGGCAGCCCUGGGAGCAGCUCGCCUGAGAAACGCCUCCGUGAUGCACCAGGUUGCUCUGUAUACUUAUGGGAAUCCCUGCAGUCAUCUCGGAAACGCAGAUAUUGUUAGACUGAAGAUGCCAGCUUUGGCCUUACCGGCAACAAGAGUUUUCCCUAAUUCCGACAAAGAAUGUGCUGAACAAACUGGUAUUUGAAGAAAGUGCUGUCCUGACUCUUUGUGGCACUGAAGAUCAGCCAUUCUGGAGGAGAAAGGCCACCCGUUGCUACAGGCUG
rnacentral:lncRNA from 1 species